rnacentral:lncRNA from 10 species
CAGUGAUGGACAGGACUGAAAUGAAAUGGGGCCUCACGCUGGCCACACCCUCCCCACCAGCUUUGCCCAGAGUCCACACUGCAGGCUUUGCCCACAGAGUCCAUACUGUAGGCUCUGAACCUCCACUGUGGAACCACAUGGGGAGCCACAGGGACCAGUCCCACGGAAAAGCCAGGACAUGCUCCAAAAGAUGGCCCAAGGAGUAGAGACGGAGUUUCAACCAUGUUAGCCAAGAUGUUCUCGAUCUCCUGACCUCGUGAUCCUCCCGCCUCGGCCUCUCAAAGUGCUGGGAUUACAGGUGAGCCACCGCGCCCAGCCCACCCCUUUCUUUAUCAUGUAUUCAUUCCUUAUUUACAGCUUUGCCCUCCAUCCCUACCUUCCUUUGGUCAUCCACUAUUGUGUCAGGAACACCAAUCAGUCAUUCCACAAAUAAUGAGUAUGAUCAAAGAUCAAACAUCUUUGAUGUGAAUAGCACUUGUCUUGGCUAUUAUCCAAUGUCUGGGCCCUGGCCAUUCUCUAUGGCCAGGGAUAUGAUCAGGGCUGGCCAGAUGCACAGGGAGGGCACGACAUGGGGGAAGUGUACGCAUUUACACCUGCCAGGCUGGAAGACCAUCCUUUUGACCAACAUGAGCUCCUACGAGACAUAACAAGGCUUUUUUCCCUUUGCUUGGAACGAGGAACCAUAGAAUUUGCUGAGGUGGGGAGGUUCUAGUGGGUCAUCAAAUCUAGCCUCUCCCAUCUGAUGCAAGAAUCGGCGUUACAACUUCUCUGACGUUGCUCAACCAGCUUCUCCUUGAACACCCCCAGAUGUGAGCUAACUUGAUCUCCUCACCCCAUUUUUUUGGAAAGCUUUAUGUGUUAGGCAAUUCGUAUAAUUCUCUGUCAGGCUUGAUCUGAUUCCCUAAUCCACCCAUGGGUCCCAUUUCUACUUCUUGGGAUGACAUAGAAGAGUUCUAAUCCCUCUUCCAUGUGAUAGCUCUUCAAAUAUUUGAAGGCAGACGUGAUGUCAUUCUUAGUCUUUUCAUGCUGAGGAUGCCCAGUGUGUGCCAGUUUUGCAAUUCUUAGGAUUCUUAGUAAUGUCAAUCUCACUUGCA